rfam:Triticum aestivum genome assembly, contig: Triticum_aestivum_CS42_TGACv1_scaffold_031951_1BL
UAUAUACUCCCUCCGUCCGGAAAUACUUGUCGGAGGAAUGGAUGUAUCUAGAUGUAUUUUAAUUCUAGAUACAUUCGUUUCUAUGCAUUUCUCCGACAAGUAUUUCCGGAUGGAGGGAGUAUUUC